GACUGUAGCUACCUGCUGGCUGGAGACUGUCAGUACAGAUCCUUCACUCUACUGGGUGAUUUUGUCCGGGGGCAGAGGAGUGGGGUGACUCUGUUUCUUGGUGAGGUGUUUGAGCUGCACCUCUCUGUGGACGGACGUCUGUCUCAGGGAGAGAAGAGGUUGUCCCUGCCCUAUGCGUCUCAUGGUGUGUUUGCUGGGUCUGAGCUGGGCUUUUAUAAGCUAUGGAGUGAAGAGCUUGGCUUCUCCG